AAUGAACGCUGGCGGCGUGCCUAACACAUGCAAGUCGAACGAGAAAGCCCGCAAGGGUGAGUACAGUGGCGCACGGGUGAGUAAUACAUAGGAAUCUGCCUCUGAGUGAAGAAUACCCUAGAGAAAUUUAGGUUAAUACCGCAUAAGCCCAGAAAUGGGGAAAGGUGGCCUCAAGCUACCGCUGAGAGAUGAGCCUAUGGCCUAUUAGCUAGUUGGUAGGGUAAAAGCCUACCAAGGCGAGGAUGGGUAGCUGGUCUGAGAGGAUGAUCAGCCACACGGGGACUGAGACACGGUCCGGACUCCUACGGGAGGCAGCAGUAAGGAAUAUUGGACAAUGGGGGAAACCCUGAUCCAGCCAUGCCGCGUGAGUGAAGAAGGCCUUAGGGUUGUAAAGCUCUUUCAAUAGUGAAGAUAAUGACGGUAGCUAUAGAAGAAGCCCCGGCUAAAUUCGUGCCAGCCGCCGCCGUAA
rnacentral:rRNA from 1 species